rnacentral:rRNA from 1 species
CGUCUAUAUACGUAUAGCAUAUCAAUAAGCGGAGGAAAAGAAACUAACAAGGAUUCCCAUAGUAACGGCGAGUGAAGCGGGAAGAGCUCAAAUUUGAAAUCUUCAAGGUUUUACCUUGACGAAUUGUAGUUUAAAGAAGUGUUUUCUGUUGGAGUUUUGGUAAAAGUUCUUUGGAAUAGGACAUCAUAGAGGGUGAGAAUCCCGUAUUUGACCAUUAUUUCCAGCUGUGUGAUACACUUUCAAAGAGUCGGAUUGUUUGGGAAUGCAGUCCAAAAUGGGUGGUAAAUUUCAUCUAAAGCUAAAUACUGGCGAGAGACCGAUAGCGAACAAGUACCGUGAGGGAAAGAUGAAAAGAACUUUGAAAAGAGAGUUAAACAGUACGUGAAAUUGUCAAAAGGGAAGCGUUUGACACCAGUGUUGUUUUCUCGAAAAUCAAUUAAAAAUGAUGGGAUUUUGUGUUGUAUUGACUUUAUCAGCUUUCUGCACUUUUUUUCCUAUCUUUUUUAAUGCACUUUUCGUUUAACAAGUCAACAUCAAUUUCUUUUGUUGUAAAAGAGUCAUUGGAAGGUGGCUUUCUUUUCGGAGAAAGUGUUUAUAGCCUUUGGCUUCUGCAAUCGGAGAGAUUGAGGUCUGCAGCGUAGAUCCUUCGGGGUUAGAUGCAUUUGUGCUAAGUUAUAGCCUUUCAUAGACAACUUGUUGACUAUGAUCAGUCAUGUAGCUUACUCGCUUAUGUCAUUUUACCUACGCUUAGGAUGUUGAUAUGCAUGACUGAUAU